GGAAGAUUAAUACCCGAUGGCAUGCAUUUCCGGCAUCGGAGAUGCAUUAAAGAUUUUAUCGGUGACGGAUGAGGAUGCGUACGAUUAGCUAGUUGGCGGGGUAACGGCCCACCAAGGCUACGAUCGUUAGGGGUUCUGAGAGGAAGGUCCCCCACACUGGAACUGAGACACGGUCCAGACUCCUACGGGAGGCAGCAGUGAGGAAUAUUGGUCAAUGGGCGAGAGCCUGAACCAGCCAAGUAGCGUGAAGGAUGACUGCCCUACGGGUUGUAAACUUCUUUUGUUUGGGAAUAAAAGACGCUACGUGUAGCGUUCUGCAUGUACCUUACGAAUAGGCAUCGGCUAAUUCCGUGCCAGCAGCCGCGGUAAUACGGAAGAUGCGAGCGUUAUCCGGAUUUAUUGGGUUUAAAGGGAGCGUAGGCGGGCUGUUAAGUCAGCGGUAAAAUGUCAAGGCCCAACCUUGUCCUGCCGUUGAAACUGGCGGUCUUGAAUGCACACAAGGGAGAUGGAAUUCGUCGUGUAGCGGUGAAAUGCUUAGAUAUGACGAAGAACUCCGAUUGCGAAGGCAGUCUCCUGGGGUGUAAUUGACGCUGAGGCUCGAAAGUGCGGGUAUCAAACAGGAUUAGAUACCCUGGUAGUCCGCACAGUAAACGAUGAAUGCUGGUUCUUGGCGAUAUACGGUCAGGAACUGAGGGAAACCAUUAAGCAUUCCACCUGGGGAGUACGCCGGCAACGGUGAAACUCAAAGGAAUUGACGGGGGCCCGCACAAGCGGAGGAACAUGUGGUUUAAUUCGAUGAUACGCGAGGAACCUUACCCGGGCUUGAAUUGCAGCUGCAUGGGGCAGAGAUGUCCCUUCCCUUCGGGGCUGCUGUGAAGGUGCUGCAUGGUUGUCGUCAGCUCGUGCCGUGAGGUGUCGGCUUAAGUGCCAUAACGAGCGCAACCCUUGCUGUCAGUUGCCAUCAGGUAAAGCUGGGCACUCUGGCGGGACUGCCACCGCAAGAUGUGAGGAAGGUGGGGAUGACGUCAAAUCAGCACGGCCCUUACGUCCGGGGCUACACACGUGUUACGAUGGGGAGUACAGAAAGCCGCUUCAUGGCGACAUGAGGCCAAUCAUAAAAGCUCCUCUCAGUUCGGACUGGACU
rnacentral:rRNA from 1 species